AUAACUGUAUUUAAAUCAUUGCGUAGGUCUGUUAUCUCUUGACAGCAUUACGUUGGGAAAUAGACGAUUUGCGCUUUAAAAACACAAUAAUAAUGGCUUGGUUACAUCCAGGUUACAUCCUGUAGCAGGUGAAAUUUUAUUUGGGCGUUGCAAGCUAACGUAGUUACAAUUGCUAACAACCAGCGAGCAAGCGUUAGCAAGCAAGCUAGCAACUCGUGCCAGCUAGAUAGCCAACUACGCCUUUUUAGUUCUGAUGGGGUUUUUCUUGACUUGACCCCAUGAGUGGCAGUCGCACCUCCCCGUUCCGGAACCAAGGAACAUGUGGACCCAGGCAGAUGGGGCUGCUGCUUGACAUGUCAUUGGAUGGAGAGGCUGACCCUGGGGGAAGUGAGGAGGUGCUAGAGGCAGAGCUUCUGUCUCUGAUUGGAGAAGGAGGGGCACCGUGUAACAGAAAAAAGGGUGGAGCAGCACCAGUUUCGAUGGUGGAUAUCGAGCACAUGGCUGCGCUGUGUAUGAAAGACCUGGAUGAUGAGGAGGAGGAGGAGGGGGGAGAUGAAGAGAGGAAUCUGGAGAAUGAUGCGGACCUCUUGGCGGAGCUCAAUAACGUUCUGGAGGAAUCUGAAGCAGUGAGGGCCACGCCUGUGCAACAUUCAAACUCCACUGUGAGUGGCUGCGGCGGCCUGAAGUCCCGCCUCCUGGAGCGGAUUGACAUGUACCAGACAGCCGCGGGGAACGCCAGGGCCGCGGGGGAGAGCAGCCGGGCUCGGCGCUACGAGCGGGGACUGAAGACUCUGCAGUCCAUGUUAUCGUCAGUGAAGAUGGGAAAGCCAGUCAACGAGGACGAAAUCCCGCCCCCUGUUGCCACAGGCGGCAGACCCACGUCUGCCCAUCAGGCAGCUGAGCCAAUCGGAGUGUGGGAGCACCCGCCACAGGAGCGUGCAUCUGUGCGCUCCAGCAAUGAGAGUCUCAGACAGGGGACUCCGCCUACUGCACCAAAACUCCGCCCCCAACCGUCUCUGCAGAAGUCUUCUGCUGUCAGCUCACCUGCUUCUACCAUCAACUACAGCCAACAGGAUUCUGUUACGAAGGACCUGCUGCUGGCCAGACUGAGAGAGUACAAAGUGGCAGCUGUCCAAGCCAAACAGCGUGGAGACUUGGGCACGGCCAAACAGCACUACCUGGUAGCCAAGAAAUUACACACAGUGGUCGAGGCGUUUGAUAGAGGAGACUCAGUGGACAUCAGCGCCCUACCUCCCCCUCCUGGGGAUGCAGUGGUGGACAGGCAGACCCCCGCGCAACCCGCUGCGUCGCUGUGUGCAGCGCCACCUGUGGCCAGUUCCGCUGUUGCAGCCCCGCGCAGUGUGGCGGAAGCCCUGCAGCAGAGGAUGCAGAGGUACAAGGGGGCCGCAGAGGACGCCAAGGGCAAGGGAGACGACCGCAAGGCCCGCAUGCACAUGCGCAUAGUCAAGCAAUACCAGGAUGCCAUCCGAUCUCACCAAGCUGGACGGCCAGUUGAUCUGUCCGGACUUCCUGUCCCUCCUGGGUGCCCGCCUCUGCAGGGGACAGAGGGCACUGAGCAGAACUUCACUGGAGUGGUAGAGGCUGCCGUCAGGCUGGCCAAUCGGGAUACAGAGGAGGAGGAAUGGGAGGAGCAAGGGAAGGAAGUGUCAAAGCCACCAGUGAGACCAGUUUCUCAGCGUGCUGCCAAAACCUCAGCUCCUUCUUCCCCUAAUCUGAGGACCCCUGGCCCCCCCACGGCCCCCAGUCAGGGGUUCAGAAUGGGAUCCAAAGCCCAGCAGCAGCUGGACUUCCUGCUGUCCAGGCGGCAGCAGUUGGUGCGGGCGGCGCUGCGCUCCAAGCAGCUGAAGGACAUGCAGGGCGCCGCCCUCCACCUGCGCCAAGCCAAGGGCCUGGAUCACAUGAUCGCCGCCGCCAAGGCCGGGCUGCCCGUCGACAUCACCAAGGUCCCCAGUGCCCCCGUGGCGGAGGAAGGCUAUUCCCUGACGCAGUCCUGCAGCUCUGCGGUCUCCCCCCACACCGCUGAGCAGUACAACCAGCUGGUGGAGCUUCUGCGACAGCAGCACGAGAAGUGUCUCGGCUACUCCCAGCAGUUCACCCACAUGGGCAAUGUUGCUGAGACCGUCAGGUUCGAGAAACUGGCGAAGGAGUGUAUGAACAACAUUGAGGUGCUGAGGCAGGCCCACGGGAAGGGCUACCCCGUCCCCAAAUUCCACACAGAGGAGCGCACCUUCAGCACAGUCAAGAUUCUUCCCAACCUGACCAGCAGUGACAUGAUAUUGACUAUAGUGAAGGGAAUCAACCUACCUGCUCCUUCAGGAGUUUCCCCAAAGGCUAUGGACACUAGCGUGCGUUUUGAGUUUCCUUUCCCCAGCUCGGAAGAAGGGCAGAAGGAUAAAACCAGCUCUGUGAAAAACACCAACAGCCCAGAGUUCAAGGAGCAGUUUAAACUCAACAUCAGUCGAGGUCAUCGGAGUUUAAAGAGGGUCAUUCAGUCCAGGGGCAUCAAGUUUGAGGUCAUUCACAAGGGUGGGUUGUUUAAGACGGAGAAGGUGAUGGGCAGUGCUCAACUUAAGCUGGAGUCCCUGGACAAAGAGUGUGAGGUCAGACAGCUGAUAGAGGUGCUGGAUGGUCGAAAGCCCACAGGGGGGCACUUAGAGGUGGUGGUCAGAAUUCGGGAGCCCCUGGGGGGGCCACAGGUCCACACCGUCACAGAGCGUUGGCUGGUCCUGGACCCCCACACAAUGCCCAUGGUCGCAGUUCCUAAACCAAAACCGCAGACUGAGACAGUGAAAAACGUCAGUGCCAGGUCGUCUGUGUGCACUCUCCUCUGACUGCCCUCAGUGAGACUGUGCCAAACCCAAGCAGAACCGCUCCCACACUGCACUGCCCACCAUUCAGCCGGGCCCAAACUGGACCACUCCCCGCCCCGUAGAAGCAGGGGGCCCAAACUGGACCACUCCCCGCCCCGUAGAGGCUGGGGGCCCAAACUGGACCACUCCCCGCCCCGUAGAGGCUGGGGGCCCAAACUGGACCACUCCCCGCCCCAUAGAGGCUGGGGGCCCAAACUGGACCACUCCCCGCCCCGUAGAGGCAGGGGGCCCAAACUGGACCACUCCCCGCCCCGUAGAGGCUGGGGGCCCAAACUGGACCACUCCCCGCCCCAUAGAGGCCGGGGGGAGGCACACAGGACAGUGUCCCUGUGAAAAAUUUAGGGAUGGGAGGGGAAGGUCCCUGGAUUAGAGGGUACCCUGGGAUUUCGCCCGCGCCAGUGUAAAUGAAGGGUUACGACAGGCUCAGAGAGCUUACUCAAGGCUGGCGGUUAAAAGCAGAACGCGCCUGCUUCUGAGGCGUUCAGCUCAAAAAACAAUUAAUGAAGCCGAGAUCACAAAAAAAUACUCUUCAUUCGGUGCAGCUGCAUCAGUGCCAAAAAAGUGUUCGAGUGCAAACGUUUCAGUCCAAAGACUCUGUGCUUCUGAGGAUUUCACACAAAUGACAAGAGUCAAACAAAAGAGGACUUCUUGCAGGCCUCAGCUGAUGAUGUGUGUGCUCAGGACUACGGGAUCCAGAAACUGGUUUUAAUCUAUUGGGGGGGGGGGGGGUUGCCUGUCGUCACCCCAGGAGCUGCAGUGAGGGAUGGGCAGGAGCAGAAGGAAGCUGCUCUUUUUUACCAGACUGAAUUUGAUCACACCAUGAUCGCGUUCCCUGAGCCAUCGGUUUAAUAUAUGUCUGCAUUUUUAUAUUGCUUUGUGCACUUUAUGAGUCAUGCAUUGCUCUAUGUCAUGGAAACUUCAGUGUUUGCCUUACAUUGUGUAUAUAUAGUUAUUUUUAAAUGUAUAUGUAUAUAAUAUAUAAAACUAUGUGUAGAUUUGGUGAGUGCUACAAGGGCCGAAUGGCCUAUUUUCAUCAAUAUGUGUUCUUACACAGUAAUGACAGGCCAUAUAUCUUUCAAAUGUGAUUUUGAAUUAGUUACACAUUAAUCUCGUUUUUUUUUUUAAAUGAAUGCAUUUACACAUUUAUAUUUUAAUGAAGCCGUGAGUGAUUGUUGAUGUGUGUCCCUUGGAUGGCCAAGAUUGACCUGCAGUGGUGCCAAAAUUAUGGGUGUAGGGGAACGGUGAUAAGGGGGCUGUGUGACACAAGAUGUUUUCUCAGCAGGUGUCAAACCUGUAUUUUCAGCAAAAGAACAGAGAAAGACUUAGCUAUAGUGGUGUCACAUCAUGUAAUGAUAACUGUAAUACCUUAUUAUAUGCUGGUGUGACUCCAUAAUUAUUUCCUGGUUAUUAUUUAUAACAAGAAGAAUUGUAAUAAUUAUGAUAAUAGUAGUAAUUGCACGUUUAAGUGUAGAGGAUCUUGGAUUGCUUCACGGAAAAGUGGUUGGCCCCAGGGUCUGUACUGUAUAAAGUAAAGCCCCAGGGUCAGUACUGUGUAAAUAAAAGCCCCAGGGUCUGUACUGUGUAAAGUAAAUCCCCAGGGUCUGUACUGUGUAAGUAAAGGCCCAGGGGUCUGUACUGUGUAAAGUAAAGCCCCAGGGUCUGUACUGUGUAAAGUAAAUCCCCAGGGUCUGUACUGUGUAAAGUAAAGCCCCAGGGUCUGUACUAUGUAAAGUAAAUCCUCAGGGUCUGUACUGUGUAAAGUAAAAGGAUAUGUCUAUGUGUACUGUGUAAAGUAAAUCCCCAGGGUCUGUACUGUGUAAAGUAAAUCCCCAGGGUCUGUACUGUGUAAAGUAAAGGGAAAUGUCUAAGUAUA